UACAGAGGUCCCAAGCGUUGUUCGGAUUCACUGGGCGUAAAGGGUGCGUAGGCGGUCGGGUAAGUCUGAUGUGAAAUCUCACAGCUUAACUGUGAAACUGCAUUGGAUACUAUUCGGCUUGAGAGUUGGAGGGGGGGACUGGAAUUCUUGGUGUAGCAGUGAAAAUGCGUAGAUAUCAAGAGGAACACCAGUGGCGAAGGCGAGUCCCUGGACAACUUCUGACGCUGAGGCACGAAAGCUAGGGGAGCAAACAGG
rnacentral:rRNA from 1 species